UGGGGAAUUUUCCGCAAUGGGCGAAAGCCUGACGGAGCAACGCCGCGUGAGGGACGAAGGCCUCUGGGCUGUAAACCUCUUUUCUCAAGGAAGAAGAUAUGACGGUACUUGAGGAAUAAGCCACGGCUAAUUCCGUGCCAGCAGCCGCGGUAAUACGGGAGUGGCAAGCGUUAUCCGGAAUUAUUGGGCGUAAAGCGUCCGCAGGCGGCUUUUCAAGUCUGCUGUUAAAGCGUGGAGCUUAACUCCAUCAUGGCAGUGGAAACUGAAUGGCUUGAGUAUGGUAGGGGCAGAGGGAAUUCCCGGUGUAGCGGUGAAAUGCGUAGAUAUCGGGAAGAACACCAGCGGCGAAAGCGCUCUACUGGACCAUUACUGACACUCAGAGGCGAAAGCUAGGGUAGCAAAAGGGAUUAGAUACCCCUGUAGUCA
rnacentral:rRNA from 1 species